rnacentral:rRNA from 1 species
GAAGAACGCUAGCGGCAGGCUUAACACAUGCAAGUCGAGGGGUAUAGGUUUUCGGACCUAGAGACCGGCGCACGGGUGCGUAACGCGUAUGCAAUCUACCUUUCACAGAGGGAUAGCCCAGAGAAAUUUGGAUCAAUACCUCAUCGUAUAGCAGUUUCGCAUGAAACCACUAUUAAAGUUCCAACGGUGAAAGAUGAGCAUGCGUUCCAUUAGCUAGAUGGUAAGGUAACGGCUUACCAUGGCUACGAUGGGUAGGGGACCUGAGAGGGAGAUCACCCACACUGGGACUGAGAAAAGGACCAGACUCCUACGGGAGGCAGCAGUGAGGAAUAUUGGUCAAUGGACGCAAGUCUGAACCAGCCAUGCCGCGUGCAGGAUGACGGUCCUAGGGAUUGUAAACUGCUUGUGUACGAGAAGAAACAACAUUACGUGUAAUGUCUUGACGGUAUCGUAAGAAUAAGGAUCGGCUAACUCCGUGCCAGCCGCCGCAGUAAAAC